GUAAAAGUCGUAACAAGGUCUCCGUUGGUGAACCAGCGGAGGGAUCAUUACCGAGUUUACAACUCCCAAACCCCUGUGAACAUACCACUUGUUGCCUCGGCGGAUCAGCCCGCUCCCGGUAAAACGGGACGGCCCGCCAGAGGACCCCUAAACUCUGUUUCUAUAUGUAACUUCUGAGUAAAACCAUAAAUAAAUCAAAACUUUCAACAACGGAUCUCUUGGUUCUGGCAUCGAUGAAGAACGCAGCAAAAUGCGAUAAGUAAUGUGAAUUGCAGAAUUCAGUGAAUCAUCGAAUCUUUGAACGCACAUUGCGCCCGCCAGUAUUCUGGCGGGCAUGCCUGUUCGAGCGUCAUUUCAACCCUCAAGCACAGCUUGGUGUUGGGACUCGCGUUAAUUCGCGUUCCCCAAAUUGAUUGGCGGUCACGUCGAGCUUCCAUAGCGUAGUAGUAAAACCCUCGUUACUGGUAACCGUCGCGGCCACGCCGUUAAACCCCAACUUCUGAAUGUUGACCUCGGAUCAGGUAGGAAUACCCGCUGAACUUAAGCAUAUC
rnacentral:rRNA from 1 species